rnacentral:snoRNA from 1 species
CACCUCUCAGGGUCGCACCUGGAGAGUUUCCAGUAGUCUACCAGUCUUGACUAUAGGAAGGAGAGUCAAGCAGAAGCAUAUCCACUCCAUUCCUAGCUUGGGCAGAGGCUAGAGAGUGAAAGGCAAUCUGCUACAAGU